rnacentral:rRNA from 1 species
GACGAACGCUGGCGGCGUGCUUAACACAUGCAAGUCGAACGGAAAGGCCCUGCUUUCCGGGUACUCGAGUGGCGAACGGGUGAGUAACACGUGGGUGAUCUGCCCUGCACUUCGGGAUAAGCCUGGGAAACUGGGUCUAAUACCGGCUAGGUGCCACUUUUAGUGUGAUGGUUGGAAAGUUUUUUCGGUGUAGGAUGAGCUUGGGGGCUCUCCGCUUGUUGGUGGGGUAAUGGCCUACCAAGGCGGCGACGGGUAGCCGGCCUGGGAGGGUGGACGGCCACAAUGGGACCGAGGGAAGGCCCAAGCUCCUACGGGGGGGAACAGGGGGGAAUAUUGAACAAGGGGGGCCAGGCUGAUGCAGCGACGCCGCGGGGGGGAUGACGGGCUUCGGGUUGUAAACUCCUUUCGCGAGGGACGAAGCUUUUUGUGACGGUACCUAGAGAAGAAGCACCGGCUAACUACGUG